AUUGAACGCUGGCGGCAGGCCUAACACAUGCAAGUCGAACGAGUGGCGGACGGGUGAGUAAUGUCUGGGAAACUGCCUGAUGGAGGGGGAUAACUACUGGAAACGGUAGCUAAUACCGCAUACCAUCAGAUGUGCCCCGAUGGGAUUAGCUAGUGGGUGGGGUAAAGGCUCACCAAGGCGACGAUCCCUAGCUGGUCUGAGAGGAUGACAAGCCACACUGGAACUGAGAAACGGUCCAGACUCCUACGGGAGGCAGCAGUGGGGAAUAUUGCACAAUGGGCGCAAGCCUGAUGCAGCCAUGCCGCGUGUAUGAAGAAGGCCUUCGGGUUGUAAAGUACUUUCAGCGGGGAGGCGUUACCCGCAGAAGAAGCACCGGCUAACUCCGUGCCAGCAGCCGCGGUAAUUC
rnacentral:rRNA from 1 species